AGUGAACGCUGGCGGUAGGCCUAACACAUGCAAGUCGAACGGCAGCACAGUAAGAGCUUGCUCUUACGGGUGGCGAGUGGCGGACGGGUGAGGAAUACAUCGGAAUCUACUUUUUCGUGGGGGAUAACGUAGGGAAACUUACGCUAAUACCGCAUACGACCUACGGGUGAAAGCAGGGGAUCUUCGGACCUUUCGCGAUUGAAUGAGCCGAUGUCGGAUUAGCUAGUUGGCGGGGUAAAGGCCCACCAAGGCGACGAUCCGUAGCUGGUCUGAGAGGAUGAUCAGCCACACUGGAACUGAGACACGGUCCAGACUCCUACGGGAGGCAGCAGUGGGGAAUAUUGGACAAUGGGCGCAAGCCUGAUCCAGCCAUACCGCGUGGGUGAAGAAGGCCUUCGGGUUGUAAAGCCCUUUUGUUGGGAAAGAAAAGCAGCAGGUUAAUACCUCGCUGUUCUGACGGUACCCAAAGAAUAAGCACCGGCUAACUUCGUG
rnacentral:rRNA from 1 species